rnacentral:rRNA from 1 species
CGUAGGGUGCGAGCGUUAAUCGGAAUUACUGGGCGUAAAGCGUGCGCAGGCGGUUUUGUAAGACAGAUGUGAAAUCCCCGGGCUCAACCUGGGACCUGCAUUUGUGACUGCGAGGCUAGAGUACGGUAGAGGGGAUGGAAUUCCGCGUGUAGCAGUGAAAUGCGUAGAUAUGCGGAGGAACACCGAUGGCGAAGGCAAUCCCCUGGACCUGUACUGACGCUCAGUGCACGAAAGCGUGGGGAGCAAACAGGAUUAGAUACCCUGGUAGUCCACGCCCUAAACGAUGUCAACUGGUUGUUGGGUCUUUACUGACUCAGUAACGAAGCUAACGCGUGAAGUUGACCGCCGUGGGGUGUACGGCCGCAAGGUUAG